rnacentral:tRNA from 1 species
GCAGUGGUAGUUCAGUGGCAGAAUGCUUACCUUCUAUGCGGGAGACCUGGGUUCGAUUCCCAGCCAAUGCA